AGUGAACGCUGGCGAUAGGCCUAACACAUGCAAGUCGAACGGCAGCACAGUAAGAGCUUGCUCUUACGGGUGGCGAGUGGCGGGCGGGUGAGGAAUACAUCGGAAUCUACUUUUUCGUGGGGGAUAACGAAGGGAAACUUACGCUAAUACCGCAUACGACCUACGGGUGAAAGCAGGGGAUCUUCGGACCUUGCGCGAUUGAAUGAGCCGAUGUCGGAUUAGCUAGUUGGCGGGGUAAAGGCCCACCAAGGCGACGAUCCGUAGCUGGUCUGAGAGGAUGAUCAGCCACACUGGAACUGAGACACGGUCCAGACUCCUACGGGAGGCAGCAGUGGGGAAUAUUGGACAAUGGGCGCAAGCCUGAUCCAGCCAUACCGCGUGGGUGAAGAAGGCCUUCGGGUUGUAAAGCCCUUUUGUUGGGAAAGAAAAGCAGCAGGUUAAUACCCCGCUGUUCUGACGGUACCCAAAGAAUAAGCACCGGCUAACUUCGUG
rnacentral:rRNA from 1 species